CCCGUGGAGAGAUCACUAGCGAGAAUGAUGACAUGAGUAGCGACAAAGAGUGUGAGAGACACUCUCGCCGAAAAUCCAAGGGUUCCUGCUUAAAGCUAAUCUGAGCAGGGUAAGCCGACCCCUAAGGCGAGGCCGAAAGGCGUAGUCGAUGGGAACCAGGUUAAUAUUCCUGGGCCGUGGAGUGGUGACGGAUCUCGA
rnacentral:rRNA from 1 species